GGAGGUGUUCACUAGGACAAACAACCCAUCCAUUCUCGAUCUGUAUCCUCGUCUAUUCUAGAGAACAACACAUUUGUGUCUCGGCGCUUGAGCCUUAUUUGUCUUCCUCGAUAGAGACGGGGGCUAUACAGUCUAAUGAGAUGCUCAAAGGUGAAAGCAUCCCUUCAACCUUGCUCACCAAAAAUCAAAAUAAAAUAACAGCGGAAAAAGUCGAUGAUAACAGGAUCGACAGUAUCUAAUGUAAAAGGGUAAGUGCAAACACUUAAAAUCCAUUUCAUGUAAGUAGUGAUGUCCUCUUCGGGGGUAGGAAUCACCACCUCUUUGUCUUCCUAGUAGCAAUCUCUCUUUAUUUGUUCGAGAUCGCCCUUACUUAUCGAGCCUAUAUAUCUUGACAUUGGCUCACAUCGACCACGGGCCGACGAGGGUUUCUCUACUUUAAUAUUGGAAGUGAGAUCGCACACCCCAGGAACAUACCCCUCGAGGCGUGGCUCCUCUGACGUUUUGUCGCCAGCCGACGACGAUGAAGAGGCUUUCUCCUUUUGAGGAACGAUUUUAGAUAUUUUAGAUAUAUUUAUAUGAGUUCUGAGGAAGAUGAAGAUGAAGUUUGAGAAGAUUGGCAAACGGGAUUUGAAGAAUUUGCAAAAUUGAAAAGUUUGAAAGAAGUAGAAGAGCUUUGAAGAUUAAGAGAAAUUUAGAAACUAAAGUUUGAGAGAAUUAUGAAGAUAGACCUAUUUAUAAUGUUUGCUAUGAAAGUUUGAAGGAGCUAGUGGCUAACCAUCGACUAACGAUCAUUAAUGAUUUUGGGAAACGAUCUAUUUUUAAGGUUAUUGAUUGUGCUGACACGACGCCUCAAUCUCUUACAUCACGAGGGUGACGCCAUAAUGGUCGCGGUACAAAAUCGAAGGCUCAGUUCGUUUCUUCUUAUUACUCUCCAAGAAACGAGGGACUAUCUAUAUACAGUUAAAAAUGGGCUUGUCAUAUUUUUCUAUUUAAUCGAGACCAGGUAAUCACGUCAAGGGUCAGCCUCGUAAUGGGUCAGGCCAGAGUACGAAGACAUGGUAUCGAGUUCGAGAAUCAACGUAUCCGUCGAGAUCGAGGCCAUCGGCGAUAGAGACCUAAUAUGAUCAACUUCGUGCAAUGCGCAAUAACGAAAAGAUGAAAUAUCCAUAAUCCGUGGGAGAGCACGUCAAAAAUAGGGCAAUUAAUUAGGCCAAUCAUGAAAUUUACUUUUGUAAAUGGAGUUAUACCAUUAUUAGGAUUUCACUAUAUAAAGGGGAAUCCCCAUCAUUUGUAAGGACCUUACAUUCAUACAGAUCAAAGCAGUACAAUAUUCUUUCUUUAAUUUACGUUCUCUUGUUCACUAGUCUGGUGCCUUUUAAUUGUUCUUGUUUUACUAGCUCGAGGGUAUUCCACUCGAGGGCUCUAUUCAAACACUGCUUUGAUUUACAUUAUUGUCAAUUUCUAUUGUUUAUUAAUUACACUUCUCAAUUGAUAUUAAGUAAAAUCACAUAUCCUUAAAACCACCUUUCAAAUUUAAUUGUUACCCAAUUUUUAGGGUAAACACUAACUGUUUCGGCAAUCAGAAGUUUAAUGUGUCGAUAUUAAGGUCACUUUUUCUCUAGUCAGCAAUGAACUGAAUAAAUUAAUGUUGAUACUUGGCGUAAUCAAUAGGUUAAACACGAUUAAGACUGACAGAAUAUGAAAUUAUGCUAUGAAUUAUAUAUCAAAAUUUCAAAUUCCAAGUAGUUUAAAACUGACUUUUAAAAGUACGUACCACCAACUUGGAUUAUCAAAUUGAACAUCUGAAUUUAAGUCUUCAGUCAAUAACAAAACUUAAUUUUUUAAAAACUAUCAUCUUGGAUUCUUCUUGAAAUGUUUGGUGGGAUGAAAUCUCUAUUCAUCUUCUGAAUGUGACCAUAGUUAGUUUCCAUUUUAUUAUCAUAUAUGAUUUAAUUUAUAUACAUUGACCAUGAUGAAGAGAAUGUAACACUAUUGAUGUAUUUUAAAUUUGAACUUCUUGUAGCAUGUAAUGUGUUCCAUUUUCCACGUAAUAAGCUUUACUAAUUAGUGAUAGUUACCUAUAGUUUAUUAUAACUGAUCCGAUAGUUUAAAUUUCUUUUACACUGUAUGUAUAUAAAGGUGUCAUAAUUCAAAAUUCACUAGUCGUUAUGGUAUCUAACUCAAUCCGCUAGGUAAGACAACUAAUAACAAUCCAAUUUCAAUAAUAUCAAUAAAACAAUUAAACAAAAGGAAUUAUCUGAAUCUUAUACAUUUUGAGAGUUGAUAGUAAAAAUCAUGAAAUUCUAAGAAUAGAGUUUACAAAGCUAAUAUGAAGUAAAUACAUCUUCUAUUUGAAAAGUACAUAAACAGAGUUUUAUAAAUCAAUGGCUACCUUGAACAAGAGCCAUCUACAACAGGUACACAGGUACACCUUCAAAUUCAGCUCACAUUGAGCACAGCAACAAUAACAGCCAACAUCUGCACGCAAUGUGUAGAAGCGUAAUAUGAGUACAACCGACCCAUGUACUCAAUAAGUAACAAACCUAACCUUAGAUUGAAAGUAGUGAUGAGUUGGAAUAUAGGUCGGGUCCAACACCAAUAACCAAUAGCAGUUCAUAACAGUGUAAAGAAAAUAAAAAAAGAAGUAACUCGGAAUUUAAACUGCUGAGCCUUUUCCAUAAUUUCCGAAAAUAGUUCAGCUUUUCAAGUAUAUCAGUGAAAAUACAAAUCCUUUACCAAAAUCGUCAAAAAAUAUGAGAUAGUUUUAAAACUCUAAAUUAUCUAAAAAUUCUUUCCAUAAUAAAUAAGAUGUUUCAUUUCCUUUCUAGAUAACAAGUAUGAAAUACCUCUUUAUUGCACACAUAUCAAUAUGUAUAAAUCCGACGAUUUUUUUUGCUAUGGUUCCGCAAUUACGAUACGGAUCUAAUGGUUCAAUAAAAAAUAGAAAUUGGGUGUCAUUUUGUUAAUAUAGUACCAUUUAUGCUUGAAGAAAUGAUAUCGAAACAUAAAUAACAAGCUCAACACAACCCAAACCUAUCUCAAACUCACCUGAGACCCUCAGAACCCUAUCCGAACAUACCAACAAGUCCCAUAAAAUAGAACGAACCUAUUCGAGGCCUGAAAUCACGUAUAAUAACAUCGAAACAACGAAUCACAUCUCAAAUCAAUCUUAAUUAACUUUUUCAAACCUUCAAAUUUUAAUUUUCUCCAAUUAGUGUCGAAUCCUUCUGGAAAUAUCCAAUUGCAAAGUCUUCAAAAUUAUUCUUUGGGCCUAACGGAAUCAUUCAAACUCCAAUCCGAGGUCAACUGUAAAAAAGUUCAACUUACAACUUUUCCAACUUAAAGCUUCAAUCAUGAAAUUCAUCCUUCCAAAUCGAUUCCGAACAAUCAGGAAAUCAAAACAAAAAAUUUACACAAAUUAUAAUACAUCUCGUGGAGAUACUCGUACCCUCAAACUACCGAACAACGUGUAACGUUCAAAACGAUCGAUGGAGUUAUAAUAAAAAGUUAAAAGUAGAGUAUUAUAGUUGUU
rnacentral:lncRNA from 1 species